rnacentral:rRNA from 1 species
CCUACGGGUGGCUGCAGUGAGGAAUAUUGGUCAAUGGGCGCGAGCCUGAACCAGCCAAGUAGCGUGAGGGAUGACUGCCCUGCGGAUUGUAAACUUCUUUUGUCAGGGAGCAAGGUGCAGGUCGGGACCUGCUGUGAGAGUACCUGAAGAAAAAGCAUCGGCUAACUCCGUGCCAGCAGCCGCGGUAAUACGGAGGAUGCGAGCGUUAUCCGGAUUUAUUGGGUUUAAAGGGUGCGCAGGCGGAGGCACAAGUCAGCGGUAAAAGCGCGGGGCUCAACCCCGCUCCGCCGUUGAAACUGGGUCCCUUGAGUGCGCGAAGGGUAGGCGGAAUGCGCGGUGUAGCGGUGAAAUGCAUAGAUAUCACGCAGAACUCCGAUCGCGAAGGCAGCAUACCGGCGCGCCACUGACGCUCAUGCACGAAAGCGUGGGUAUCGAACAGGAUUAGAUACCCUUGUAGUC